rnacentral:rRNA from 1 species
AUUGAACGCUGGCGGCAGGCUUAACACAUGCAAGUCGAGCGGGGGAAGGUAGCUUGCUACCGGACCUAGCGGCGGACGGGUGAGUAAUGCUUAGGAAUCUGCCUAUUAGUGGGGGACAACAUCUCGAAAGGGAUGCUAAUACCGCAUACGUCCUACGGGAGAAAGCAGGGGAUCUUCGGACCUUGCGCUAAUAGAUGAGCCUAAGUCGGAUUAGCUAGUUGGUGGGGUAAAGGCCUACCAAGGCGACGAUCUGUAGCGGGUCUGAGAGGAUGAUCCGCCACACUGGGACUGAGACGCGGCCCAGACUCCUACGGGAGGCAGCAGUGGGGAAUAUUGGACAAUGGGGGGAACCCUGAUCCAGCCAUGCCGCGUGUGUGAAGAAGGUCUUAUGGUUGUAAAGCACUUUAAGCGAGGAGGAGGCUACUCUAGUUAAUACCUAGGGAUAGUGGACGUUACUCGCAGAAUAAGCACCGGCUAACUCUGUGCCAGCCGCCGCAGUAA